AGUUUGAUCAUGGCUCAGAGCGAACGUUAGCGGCGCGCCUAACACAUGCAAGUCGCACGAGAAAGGGGGCAACCCCCGGUACAGUGGCGCACGGGUGAGUAACACGUGGGUGAUCUGCCCAGAAGAAGGGGAUAACCUCUCGAAAGGGGGGCUAAUACCGCAUAGGACCACCGGGGCUUUGGCUCUGUGGUGAAAGGGGGCCUCUGUUUACAAGCUCCUGCUUCUGGAUGAGCCCGCGUCCCAUCAGCUAGUUGGUAGGGUAAUGGCCUACCAAGGCUACGACGGGUAGCUGGUCUAAGAGGAUGGCCAGCCACACUGGAACUGAGACACGGUCCAGACUCCUACGGGAGGCAGCAGUGGGGAAUCUUGCGCAAUGGGCGAAAGCCUGACGCAGCGACGCCGCGUGGGUGACGAAGGCCUUCGGGUUGUAAAGCCCUGUGGGGUAGAACGAACUGGCAUUGGGCUAAUAUCCCGGUGUCUUGACGGUACUGCCUUAGCAAGCAUCGGCUAACUCUGUG
rnacentral:rRNA from 1 species